rnacentral:ncRNA from 1 species
GAUAACAGGCUGAUGACUCCUAAGAGCUCCUAUCGACGGAGUCGUUUGGCACCUCGAUGUCGACUCAUCACAUCCUGGAGCUGAAGAAGGUUCCAAGUUCAUUUGUAUUCAUCACAAUAUAUGGCAACUGAUCCUCAUUUAUCAAGAUUUAUG